UGGCUCAGUUGGUAGAGCAUGGUGUUUGCAACGCCAAGGUUGUGGGUUCGAUUCCCAC
rfam:Salmo salar isolate Sally breed double haploid chromosome ssa25, whole genome shotgun sequence.